rnacentral:rRNA from 1 species
GACGAACGCUGGCGGCGUGCUUAACACAUGCAAGUCGAACGAAGAGCGAUGGAAGCUUGCUUCUAUCAAUCUUAGUGGCGAACGGGUGAGUAACGCGUAAUCAACCUGCCCUUCAGAGGGGGACAACAGUUGGAAACGACUGCUAAUACCGCAUACGAUCUGACCUCGGCAUCGAGGAUAGAUGAAAGGUGGCCUCUAUUUAUAAGCUAUCACUGAAGGAGGGGAUUGCGUCUGAUUAGCUAGUUGGAGGGGUAACGGCCCACCAAGGCGAUGAUCAGUAGCCGGUCUGAGAGGAUGAACGGCCACAUUGGGACUGAGACACGGCCCAGACUCCUACGGGAGGCAGCAGUGGGGAAUCUUCCGCAAUGGACGAAAGUCUGACGGAGCAACGCCGCGUGAGUGAUGACGGCCUUCGGGUUGUAAAGCUCUGUUAAUCGGGACGAAAGGCCUUCUUGCGAAUAGUUAGAAGGAUGACGGUACCC